GCCCCGCAUCAAGAGUUGGGGCGACGCCCAACGCCAACCUGCCAUAUCCGGGCAAGGUGGCUCCCUGCACGGGGGAUGUGGCCGAACCGGCAAUCAGACGGAUCAAG
rnacentral:ncRNA from 2 species